AGGAGCCGGGAAUGUGCGUGGUCGGACCGCGGGUUGGGAGGCCUGCUGACGAGCCGAGCGGAGGGGGCAAGGACAGCGCCGAACCGGCCGAGGCGCUGCAGGUUCGUCAGCAAACCGUGCGGAGCAGCCGGGGAGCGCUGACCGGCCGAGGACACCCGGGAUGGAGGGAAUGGUGAACAGUCGGCGAGCGGCCUGUUGAGGAGCCUCCUGGACGCCGAGGAAAACGGCGGCGUCUCGCUGCCCGGCGAGAAGCUGGCGGGAGGCGCUUGCUUUACCUUCGGAGCUGGAGCUCCGUCUCUGGGGGAGAAUAGCCCGCGAUGUGAGGGAAGGACUGUGCUGGGCCCCCGGUCAAGGGCCCGGCAAGAAGGGCUCCGCUUGGCGGAGGGAGGAGCAGCCCAGCGCUGCCGGAGAGCGGAAGGGGCAGAGCCGCGGGCCUGGUGAGCGGCUCCAGUGCUUCCUAAAGGCCCACGGAGGACAGCGCGUGGUCCUAGGCUUACGGACACUCAGGCGGCUCCGAGUGCCCUGAACGAAGUGCCCUGCCCUCAGCCGUGCCCUGAACGAAGCCCAUUUGUUCUCUGAGCUGCCGACUGGCUUUGAUUCGCCAAAGUGGGCCUGGGGCCGAGUUGGGAUCAUGAACUGGGAAACAGCCGACUGCUCCAAGAAAAGAAUCAUUUGGAGCCUUUUAGAACUUGGACGCAGGGGUAAGGAGAACAGUGUGGAAGAGAGAGAGAGACGCUUCGAGAUGACCACAGCUUGGCCUUGGACGUGGGGUAGGGGCGCUAGGGGGGUUAUGAGCAAAGACAUCAGCUGGUUUCCUUCAGGAUACUUUAAUUUGCAAAUCUCUCUCCAUCCCUUCAUCUGUUUCUUCACUAUAAGCAGAGGCUGAGGUGGGGAUUGUGGUGCAAGAGGUUUAUGGGGGGGAUGCUUCAGGAGAAAGCGAAGAUGUCAAGAGCUGGUAGUGGCUUCAAGUCACCCCCACGGCUCUCAGAGCACAAAUUACGUCCAGAAUUGGUCCUGCUGGGAGGCAAGGGGCUGACCUUCUGUCCCCCGCAGCAGAUGGUCAUUAGCACCCCAGGGUGGCUCCUCAGGGAAGAGGGCAUACGUGAGCUCUUGGCAGCCAGGAGAUGGCCUCACCAGCUGGUGAAAAACCUGAAAGGGGCACUUUCAGCAUCCACCACAUGUUCCACACUUUUCCAAGGUCUCCUGAACACCCUGUGACUGAAAAAGGGGGUUAUAAAAAACGAGGAAAGGGAUGGAUUUACUUCUGAGUCAGAUGAUGAAGCAAGUAACCACUGAACUAAAUGAGUAAGACAAGAGUCUGAGCCACAGGUGACUCUGAGGCUGUGUGGCCCCCCACCCCCACCACGUGCAGAUGCCGGUAGAGAAUGGGACUCCCACAGGACUGAAAGUGGGGGGCACACCGACCCCAGCAGAGCUCAUGACCACCCAGUAAAUUGCGAAUUCCUACAUCACAGAGAAAACUGAAGUGCAAACAGGUGAAGAGAAUGUGACAUUAUGAAUCAAAAGGUUCACUUCUCCCUUGGAGCUGAAGGCAACCUUGUGACCUCACUCUGGUUGUAUGGCUGUUGAGCCAUCCAGUACCUGGACAACAGCACAGUGCUGAAGAGAGCAGAGAGAUGAGGUGCACAGCUGAGCUCUGCCUCUUUCUAGACUGGGCCCCUUGGUUUGCUGAUAGAAGAGUAGUGCCAACGUUACGUGGAGUAAUUGCCGGGAGCUUAGACUCUGAAUUCAUUCCAUGAUAGCUAUUAUUAUUGAAAGGUCCACGUAAGGAAGAUGUACGGGUAAUAACAAACUUGACACGCUGAAAGAUUGCAUUGGGACAUCUUAUGAACCAGAAUCGUGAUACCACAUUCACACGUCUUCAGCCAAGCAAUAACUACGUUCCAUGGAUCUUCUGCCUUAAGAAGGUGUUUCCUGGCGCUAAGACUGUCCCCCAGCAAUGCUGGCAUGGAUGUACCUUUGAAGGCAAGUGGUUGCUGCUCUUCACUCACCUUUUCCCUCUCUCUGUGUGCUGACACUAACUCCUGCUGGGCUGAAGUUUGGGACCACUGGGGAGGAGUGGAGCCCUACUGAGAAGGGUGACACUCGUGUGGACAGCUCCGAUGGUUGGGACACUGGGAGGAGUGGUUGAAGGACUGGGGUCCUAGUGUGGGGGGCAUCUCUGAGGUUUCUGUGACUCUUCCCAUCAGAGCCUCAGGCUCCUCAUCUGUAGGACGGGCAUGAUUCCAGCCCCCUGUUCCCACCACUUAGAGGCCUGAAGAACAAGAGCAGCUGCAUUCCAGGCAUUUGUACCCUUCAGGCUGGCAUUGAGGCAUUUGUUGUGUGGGUGUGGGUUUGGGGAGGUAGAGGUUCAGGAUAGGGGCAGAGCCAGCUCAGUGAAGGAGGGAGGAAAGACAGAAAACUGGUAGGAAGAGGAAACUGGGGAAGGGGUGAUGGUCACAAGUUGCAAAUGGAUAGAUUGUGUUCUGUCCUAUGUGGUAGAAGCUUCUCUUCCUUUCUGUGUAUUUAAUAUCACUAAAGUGAGCCUCAGCCACCAGUGGCUUUGAAUUGGAUAAGGUCAUUUCGUACAAAAGUGUGUGUGUUGAAGCCGACAAGACUGACUUCCCCCAAAUCCAUCGUUGGACCAUCAGUAGAGACCCCUUAGAAAAUGGUUGGCCGGCAGUGGCACUAGGAAGGAAGCGCCAGGGCCCAGGGCAGGAGGAGAAUGGGCUGUGGUGGGAAAACUCCAGAAAGGCUGGUUGGGUCAGGGGGUUGGAAGCCUUCCAAGGUGGGUACAGCAUUCCACCCCAGAAGCCAUAGACAGUGGAGAACUCUUGACUUGGGGCCUGGGGAGGGGUCUGAGCCGUGCUCUGGGGCACUUUUCCACCCCCCAUCUUUGGAGUCACCGUGGCAGUUGAUGAGGAAGCCCAUCCCUGAAACCUAGUCUGCUCUGCAUGUGGACAGUGCCACCUGAUUUGAGGGAGCCACUGCCCGGCCCUCGAAGCCUUGAGUGUCCACAAAGAGAGACAGGGCUGACAAAGCACUCCUGGGGUGUUUUUUGGGGCUCCCCUCUCCCCCAGGCCUGCCACCUGUGGAGUGCGUGCUUCUCCCUGUGGGGACUCAACAGUGAGGGGCUGGGUCCAGCAAGGAUGGAGGCUCCUCCCCUCCAUCUGCCCAGCAGGCUGGCGACAUCUCCUCUCCUGACGUCGGGGUGUUAUCCUCAGCUCCAGGUAUCACACCCGCCACUGUGGAGUAAGGGGCUGAUGAGGUCGUGCCCCCUCACACAAAGUGGUCUUUCCCAGAAGCCCAUCUUUCCUGCAGCCCAGGGUCACCCUGCCCUGGGCCAGGCCCCAACUGAGGGGGCAGGGUGUUCGCAGCUGCUUUAGACCAGUUCCCCAGGCUUGAAGUCCAAGUCUGCAAAGACCCUCCAGCAGCCCCACUUCCUUCAGGAUGGGGUAGCCAUGGGCAGCACCCUGUGAGCAUGUGGGAGCUGGGAGAGGAGAGGUGGCUCCUGCCACUAUGCCCCCGCUGCUGGGCCACCAGCUCUUCGGAACCGAGGCAGCGCCUGCUGUGGGCAAAGCCUCAGGAGAAGAAGGAUUAACUGCAUAGCACACGUUACUCAAGCAGCAGGUUGGAGAAGCUUCCCCAGAGCCUGGUUCCUUUUCUGCUUCUCCGAGUUUUCGCUUCAGGUUUGGCCUGAAGGGCUGCUUCUUGAGGGGCAGAACACCCAGGACAGGCCAGAGAGGGCACCCUGGAGCCCGAGGUCUAUAGCCCUUUGUCCCAGUUCCUUGGGUGAGCACUGUGGGUGCUUCCAUCUCAGUGGGAAGACAGGUUAGCUCCCCAAGACCCAGUGGGCCUUGGAACUAUAGCAGGGUGGCAGUGAGCCCCAGACCAGGCAUCAGGGGCUUCAGGGCCAGCAGACUUGAUCUGGCCCUGCCGCUCCCCUGGGAUGUCAUGCACCUCCCCGCCUCACCCAUCCAGGCCACCCUUCCCACCUCUCACUGGUAGGUUUUAUCUUCUUCCUCCUAAAAGGAACAUUAUUCCUGGAUAUUUAGCACUUAGUUAUUUGUUUAUGGUUGGUCUCAACCAGUACCACCCACAGUAUGUGCGCUUCCUGAGAUAAAAGCUUUGGAGAAGAGGAAUGGUGUCUACUCAUUCAUCACGGAUGAAUGAGGGGCCUGGGAUGGAGCAGAUACUAAGAUAUCUGAGUGAGGGACUGAGUGAGUGAAUGGAUAUUUCUCCUGCUAGUGAGUGAAUUGUUCCACAUUGCAAGAAAUGAAUACAAGUGAUGACCUUCAUAUCAGCCCCAGCUGUGAGAUCUCCAGCAAGUUACUUUGCCUCCCUCUGUCUCAGUUUUCCCAUAUGUAAAUCAGGCCUAAGCACAGUACCUACCUGUAGGGCCGACGUGGGAUUACGUGAGUUAGUACCUGUCAUGGACCCCAAAUGACACCUGGCAAAGAGGCAACACUCAGUUAUCACUAGUUCUUAUUAUGCUGCCCCUCAUCCCCAGAAGCUUGCCAAAUUGAUGCUCAGGGUGCCUGACUUGCCUGAGGUCACACAGCUGGAAGGAGGCAGAGACAGCGUUUGAACCCUGGUCCAGACACCUCAGAUGAAGAACCCAUUUCUAGGAGGGAAAAGGGGGCUCCUGGCCUGGGGCUGGGCACCCUGCUAGUCCCACUCCCAACCCUGAUGGGACAACCAGCCUGGCACCUGCUGCAGCUGCACUCCCGCCCCCAUAGGACUCUUCCAGAGUUUUAUGAAUUCUGUAAGAUGUACUCACAGACUUGAAGGAAUAACGUUGCACUGUAAUAAGAGCUACAGAUUGACAUGAUUCCUCAGAGAGUUCAUUGCUGAUCCUGGUUACCUGAUUGGCCAAACACUUUUCUACCUUUUGCUGCUGUUAGCAGGGGAAGGGGGGACAGCCCAUGCAUGCCCCCUGAUCCCCCCGCAGGAGCCAUGGGUCCUUUUGCUAUUGGUUUGCAGGCGCUUGUAUAUAGUCCACAUGUCACUCGUCUUUUGCAGGUGCUCUAUUUCUCCCACCUACCACUUGUUUAUUACCUGUAGAUCAUUUUUUGACAAGUUUAAUUUUUUUUUACUCAAAUAUCUAACCCAUGCCCUUUUUCGGCUUGCAGAUUUUAUGUAUUAGGAAUAUCUCCUACUGAGAUUGUAAACAGUUUUUUAAGUGUUUACCUUUUAAAACCAUUUGUAGUUUAUUUUCAUUAUGCUAUGGGGUUAUGCUGGAUAGUAUGUUUUCAUAAAAUAGCCAGUU
rnacentral:lncRNA from 1 species